UCGAGAAUCUUCCGCAAUGGGGGCAACCCUGACGGAGCGACGCCGCGUGGAGGAAGAAGGCCUUCGGGUUGUAAACUCCUGUCACGACUUACGAAUGCGCAAGGGGUAACAUCCUUGUGUUGACGAAGGGUCGGAAGGAAGCCACAGCUAACUUCGUGCCAGCAGCUGCGGUAAGACGAAGGUGGCAAGCGUUGUUCGGAUUCACUGGGCAUAAAGGGCGCGUAGGCGGUUCCGAAAGUGGCGUGUGAAAUCCCCCGGCUCAACCGGGGAAGUGCGCGCCAAACUUCGGUGCUAGAGGGCGGUAGGGGGGACUGGAACUCUCGGUGGAGCGGUGAAAUGCGUAGAUAUCGAGAGGAACACCGGUGGCGAAGGCGAGUCCCUGGUCCGCUUCUGACGCUGAGGCGCGAAAGCGUGGGUAGCAAACAGGAUUAGAUACCCCUGUAGUCC
rnacentral:rRNA from 1 species